GGCUAAUAGUUAUUCAGUAGUCACUGAACCUACAUUUUCGUUACUAAAGCUUUCUGUGCAGUGAGCAAAAAUAUGUGUUAAUUCGUUCUCAUAGUUAGACCAUUUUUUUUUGUAGGAUGUGUUUAAUGAAGGGACCGAACCUCAUUCUCUACGCCCCCUCGCAAACGGGCUACCGUAAACCGUAAUGCGCACGCGUACCCAAGCUUUUCCCAAGUGAAGAUGGCAUGACCGCAGUCAUUUUGCGUAGUCAUUAACAGCGGAAUGCAAAAAAUACGCCAUCAGAACAGCAUUCUUUAUUCCCUAAUAAAAACGGCAGAUGAACCAAUCUACACGUGAAUCCGGAAUGUCUGACAGAACUCUCCGCUUGAAAGAUGCGCUAAUGCCGCGCUCUCGCUUUCUGUCAUGCUCUCCUGAGGAGUAAGAUGCAAAAUGAAGCAUGUGGGGUCGAAACAAACUACUUUGACAUUCAGUAAAAGAAUCUAUGAAGAUUUUAAAUAUUCGAACUAGAGGAAUUCCCACCCUAGAGCAAAGAUACAGUCUCUUCUAAGCACAAUUGAGCAGUGGUGGCCGGAAUCACUCAACUGUUUCAGAAAUCGAAGGACAUGGAUGUGGAACAAAAAUAAGCAAGUAAAAUGCAUAUUUUCUAAAUUUGCCUUUAUUAUCUGUGGUUUCAAGCAUCAGGAACUUUGUUUUGACCAUCAAAAUGACCAGAAUUAUUAAACUAAUGUAUGUUUGUUUUAACUCAGGUGCGUGACAGUUAAUCAUGUUUGUGAUGCUUAAAUUUGAGAUCUCAUUUUUGUUGAUGGUAAGCUGUAAUUUUGCUUUUGCCUCACAUUAAUCAAGUCGUAUUUCUGAUUUUUUUGUUGUUUUUAGGCUUUCCCAUUACAUUUUGUGGCUGUAUAGCUGCCAUUUUUCCACCUGAGGGAAAACUGAAUUGCCACAUGAUGAUAAGUAGCACCAAUUUAUAAUAAUUAACCAUUGGUAGAUGGCACAAUUCUGAAUUUUUACGGUGUCCUACAUAGGCUGCUUCUAAAAGCUGAAAAUGCUGCUUUCAAAUUCAAAGCAGGAUGAAAAUUUAUCACAAACUGUUCUGAGAACAGAUACAUUAGGAGGCCUACAUACAAAAAUACACUUAGCGCCAUGAACUUAUUAGGCGGCAAGGCACCAGGUCAGCUUAGCUUUCGGAUGUAACCAUAUACAAAGAUGAUGAUCCGUGUUUGAAUUUUAGGAAAGGAAGCUUAGCUUUAAUUUACUGCACUACAGUUUAUUUUUUCUUUUCAUUCAGUUGUGCAAAAAAAAGUAGAUUGAAAAGUGAAAUUCUAAUUGUCAGUGACCAUUGACAAAUGGGUGUUGCUCCAUAGAUUUUUGAAGGAAUAUUCUCGGUUCAAACAAGAUAAGCUCAAUGAACAGCAUUUGUGGCUGUUGUUUGUUGAUUACCACAAGCACUAAUUUUGACAUGUCCCUCCUUUUCUUUGAACAAUGCAAAAAUCUGAGUUACAGUGAGGCACUUACAAUGGAAGUGAAUAGGGCCAAUCUGUAAACGUUAAAAAAAAUACUGUUUCAAAACUACAAGACAUAAACAAUAUUUGUUAACAUGAUUUAGUGUGAUAAAAUCACUUACUACCCUUGACAAUAAUGUCAUCAAACCCUAUAAACCGAUAAACCUUCUUUUUGUGAUGAACAUUCAUCUUGGUGUGAAUAGACCUUAAGGCUGUCAGACCCCAAUAUCCUGAUUAAAAUAGAACAACCUGAAUGUGAGUAAAUGACAGUCUUUAUUUUUGGGUAAAAUAUGCUUUAAAUAAUUAAUGACAACUGCUCAAAAAGUUUUAGGAACCUCAUCUUUCCUGAUUUUUCUCCUUCAGAAUCAGACAUCUUUAGUGAGGAUGAACUACCACUCACAACUCGCGAACAACUAAAAUAACCACCCAGACAGUCGCCACCUACAGACCUGCCGACCAGAGAGUCAACACCCCAGGACCUGCCCAGAGAGUCUCUGCCACAGGACCAGCCAACACCAGACCUGCUGCACAGACAGUCAUCACCAUACCUGCCCAGAGAGUCACUGCCACUGGACCUGAUGGCCAGAGAAUCGCCACCACCGAUUAUGCUAUACUCAUCAAACUCUUAACUCUUCUGUAGGAAGUGAAGGAGAGCCAGCAAGUGCACAGCAAUAUACUGAAUUCUUUGCUCAAGCAGCAGAGGUUCCUUAAGGAGCUGUCUUCCAUCAAUAGAAGAUGUGGAAGCUAUGAAUGAAAACUGCAUGCCCCAGGAUUAAUGCCCAGUGUUGUAAGUUAAAAUUUAUAAUUCAUGUUGCUUAUGCCAUGUUCAUCAAAUUAUUCUGCAGGUGAACUGAUUUCAUCAAAUUAUGCUCCAGGUGAACUGAUUUAUGCAUGUCAUCUACGAAUCAUUCUGUGUGUGUUUGUACUUAGCUUGCAAUGGUUGCAGAUGUUGGUGGUUCUUCAUUAGAUGAUGCUACAAGAAAGAUGAUAAGAUGCCUGAUUUCCAACGAAGUGGUGAUCCAGUACAAUCUGUUUGGUCAUCAUGGCAAGAAGAGAUUUAGAGAUUUGCGUCUUUUCGAGGUCAUAUAUGAUAAAUGAGUUUUAAUAUUGCACUACUAUGCUUAAAGACAGGCAGCAAAAGAGGCAGUUUUUCUGCGAUGAAAUCAUUUUCGUUGUGUAUAGUCUGAACUUCUAUAGGGAAAAAAUAAGUUGGGUCUUCAAAUUAUGAGGGUCAGUAAAUGAAAGAGUGUUCAUUUUGGGGUGAGCUAGCUAUUCCUUUAAGUAUAAGGGCCAUUUCACAUCACAAGCUUCAGCCAUACAUGACAGAGCGUAUUUUUUGGCAUCCAUGUUAAUGGGUUAGAGCAUUCACACCAGACGCAUGGGUGCAGUGGGUGUUUUGGUUCAGCGUCUAUUUUUGCAGUGCUGCUCAUGCUCAGCUAAAGUGACAGUGCAGAUCUAAAAUGACAAACAGAUUUGUAAGUCUUUGCUUUUACAGGUGGACUGAAGAGGAUUUAUUAACAAAAGAUAUGAACCAGAAAGACACUGAUCAUCAUUUCUGAUCAUCAACUUGUAUUGUAUUGCACUGUGCGUGAAGAAUUUGACUUAACUAUUGAAGCAUUUUUUUUUUAGUGUUUUGUAAGUUUAUAAGUCACAUUACCUGCAUUACCAGUUGUUGGGAUAGUAUUACCCUGCUGUCUUGGUGUGGUUCACUUUGCAUAGAAGAUCAUCAGACGUUUGUAUUUGAUGAGUUCUCAGUGAAUUUUACUUAUUUUUUAAGGAAAUGUUUUAUUAAAAUGUUAAAGUUGACAUUCAAAAAAAAAAAAUUACAAAAAAAAUUGGU